rnacentral:tRNA from 1 species
GGUGGGUUGGCAGAGCGGUCGAUUGCGGUUGACUGAAAAUCUUCUAAACGUUCGCGCGUUUCAUGGGUUCGAAUCCCAUACCCACCGCCA